GACACUGAGGUGCGAAAGCGUGGGUAGCAAACAGGAUUAGAUACCCUGGUAGUCCACGCCGUAAACGAUGUCGACCAGCCGUUGGGUGCCUAGCGCACUUUGUGGCGAAGUUAACGCGAUAAGUCGACCGCCUGGGGAGUACGGCCGCAAGGUUAAAACUCAAAUGAAUUGACGGGGGCCCGCACAAGCGGUGGAGCAUGUGGUUUAAUUCGAUGCAACGCGAAGAACCUUACCUACUCUUGACAUCCUGCGAAUUUGGUAGAGAUACCUUAGUGCCUUCGGGAACGCAGAGACAGGUGCUGCAUGGCUGUCGUCAGCUCGUGUUGUGAAAUGUUGGGUUAAGUCCCGUAACGAGCGCAACCCUUGUCCCUAUUUGCCAGCGCGUAAUGGCGGGAACUCUAAGGAGACUGCCGGUGACAAACCGGAGGAAGGUGGGGACGACGUCAAGUCAUCAUGGCCCUUACGAGUAGGGCUACACACGUGCUACAAUGGUCGGUACAAAGGGUUGCCAACUCGCGAGAGUGAGCCAAUCCCGAAAAGCCGAUCUCAGUCCGGAUCGGAGUCUGCAACUCGACUCCGUGAAGUCGGAAUCGCUAGUAAUCGUAGAUCAGAAUGCUACGGUGAAUACGUUCCCGGGCCUUGUACACACCGCCCGUCACACCAUGGGAGUGGACUGCACCAGAAGUGGUUAGCC
rnacentral:rRNA from 1 species